rnacentral:misc_RNA from 1 species
GUGAAUCAUCAAAUUUUUGAACGCAAAUUGCACUCUCUGGUAUUCCGGAGAGUAUGCCUGUUUGAGGGUCAGUUUAUAUAAAAACUGUGUGGUUGCUGUCUUUCGUGGUGACGCAGCGGAUUUGGGUCGUCUUGCCUUCGGUUAAGUGACUUAAGAUUUUGUAUGAUUUUUUUUGUACGU